rnacentral:rRNA from 1 species
AUGAACGCUGGCGGCGUGCCUAAUCCAUGCAAGUCGAGCGAACGGACGAGAAGCUUGCUUUUCUGAUGUUAGCGGCGGACGGGUGAGUAACACGUGGAUAACCUACCUAUAAGACUGGGAUAACUUCGGGAAACCGGAGCUAAUACCGGAUAAUAUUUUGAACCGCAUGGUUCAAAAGUGAAAGACGGUCUUGCUGUCACUUAUAGAUGGAUCCGCGCUGCAUUAGCUAGUUGGUAAGGUAACGGCUUACCAAGGCAACGAUGCAUAGCCGACCUGAGAGGGUGAUCGGCCACACUGGAACUGAGACACGGUCCAGACUCCUACGGGAGGCAGCAGUAGGGAAUCUUCCGCAAUGGGCGAAAGCCUGACGGAGCAACGCCGCGUGAGUGAUGAAGGUCUUCGGAUCGUAAAACUCUGUUAUUAGGGAAGAACAUAUGUGUAAGUAACUGUGCACAUCUUGACGGUACCUAAUCAGAAAGCCACGGCUAACUACGUG